rnacentral:tRNA from 1 species
GCCGAGAUGGCGGAAUUGGUAGACGCGCUGGCUUCAGGUGCCAGUGGUGGAAACACUGUGGAGGUUCGAGUCCUCUUCUCGGCACCA